rnacentral:rRNA from 1 species
AAGCAAGAUAGUGAUAUCAAGCAAAACUGAAAAAAGCGGUCUCAGUUCGGAUUGAAGGCUGAAAUUCGCCUUCAUGAAGUCGGAAUUGCUAGUAAUGGCAGGUCAGCAUACUGCCGUGAAUACGUUCCCGGGCCUUGUACACACCGCCCGUCACACCAUGAGAGUUGGGAAUACCCGAAGCCUGUGAGCCAACAAACGAGACAGCAGUCGAAGGUAGAAUCAAUGAUUGGGGUGAAGUCGUAACAAGGUAAC